rnacentral:lncRNA from 1 species
CUUCACCCCUAUCAUUCCCCACGAGAUAGCUUGCUCUCUGAGCAAAAUAAUCUAGAUCAUUAUUCAAUAAUUCAAUUUAAACAACUCAAUAUCAUACCAUUUGCUGAAAUUCUCAAAGAAACCAGAGGAAAUCAUAAUGGCAACUUAAUACAUGCAAAACAUUACAUAGAUAGGAUAAAUCGUGGGAUCUUACUCAAAUUAUUGCCCCUUGAGGUUUUUGAAGAUUUCAAGUUUUUCUUGGAGGUUCAAAAGUCGACCAGCAAUGUUUGGCAGGUUCUUGGGAAAAUUUAAAUUGUUAUUUUUGAUGAAUCUCAAAUUUCUUGAAGGUUGAAGAACAGCCAGCAACAUAUUUUCUUGAAGUUUCGGGCAGAUUCAAAAGGAUUGUAAACCGGCAAGAAAAGGUGUUGCAAUGUCCUUUAAGGCAGACUCAAGGCAGCUUCUUGGUUCAAUCAAGUGCCAGCAGGUUGCUUUCUUGCAAUGGUUGAGCUGCUUCAUGGGAUUACUUGGUUCCAUGUUCAAUCAGCUAUAUAUAUACUGUGAGUUUGGCCCGUUUAUGUGCCAUUCUAGCCAGUUUGUGGGCAGAUUCUGGGUGUUUAUCUGGCCAGCUGGGUGUUAGCUCUUGAAGAUUUGAAAUGGUUCUUGAAGUUCGUAAGUUGAUAAAUUAACACGGUGGCAAGUUUUGGUAAACCAUUGGAAUUUCAAGUUAUUGUUAGGCUGUUUUUACUUAAUUGGGCAAUAAAUUCAAAAUUUGAAUUUUCUCAAACUGCCCUUGCAUUAAUGCAGCAAGGUUGACUGUUUUAUGCAGUAUUUUGUUGCCCAAAUUGGUAAAAAACUUCAGAAACGGGCAGAUGUUCUUCCCGCCAGCAGGCUGCUUGGUUUGAUAGCUUUCAAUAUUUAAAACCUUUUUGAAGAUUUGGAAUCCGAUCAACAGGCAAGUAACCUACCUGACCAAUUGCUUGUUUCAUGGUUCAAACACUUGGCCACUUCAGUUUGGUUCUUGUUACCAGCAGCCUGCGUGUCCAAUUUUGGUUCUUUGUGAGCAAGCAGCCUAGUUUUGUUGGAGGAAAAAGGGGUUUACUAAUUUGAAUUGGCUAAGGCUUUUAAGGAGGAUAACACUAAUAGAAAGGAGGAAGUGAACAAAAUGAAACUUAUACUUUCAACUCCAAAACUUAAAU